rnacentral:rRNA from 1 species
UUUUAUGGAGAGUUUGAUCCUGGCUCAGGACGAACGCUGGCGGCGUGCCUAAUACAUGCAAGUCGAGCGGACAAUUGAGAGCUUGCUCUCAAUUGUUAGCGGCGGACGGGUGAGUAACACGUGGGCAACCUGCCCUGUAGACUGGGAUAACUUCGGGAAACCGAAGCUAAUACCGGAUAAUCUUUUGCGUCACAUGGCGCAAAAGUAAAAGUUGGGUUUUACCUAACACUACAGGAUGGGCCCGCGGCGCAUUAGCUAGUUGGUAAGGUAAUGGCUUACCAAGGCGACGAUGCGUAGCCGACCUGAGAGGGUGAUCGGCCACACUGGGACUGAGACACGGCCCAGACUCCUACGGGAGGCAGCAGUAGGGAAUCUUCCGCAAUGGACGAAAGUCUGACGGAGCAACGCCGCGUGAACGAUGAAGGCCUUCGGGUCGUAAAGUUCUGU